rnacentral:lncRNA from 1 species
UAUUUUGCGAAGAGUCCAUGGAGAAGAUGAGCUCUCUCUCUCUUCUCGGCCUCCUCUCUCUCUCUACGCCCCUUUUGCCUCAAGGAUUCCUCCUUUCUCUGUUUUCGAGUUUCGUUCUUUAUAGUGGAGCGAAGCUGUUUAGAUCAGCAUCCCCGCACUGAAGAUUCUCCAAAAAUCACGAAAACCCAUCUCUUCCCGCUCGCGACGUGCACGUCCUUCCUUCCUUCUUC